rnacentral:rRNA from 1 species
GGGAUGGACGCUGGCGGCGUGCCUAAUACAUGCAAGUAGAACGCUGAAGCUUGGUGCUUGCACCGAGCGGAUGAGUUGCGAACGGGUGAGUAACGCGUAGGUAACCUGCCUCUUAGCGGGGGAUAACUAUUGGAAACGAUAGCUAAUACCGCAUAAAAGACGAUAUCGCAUGAUAUUGAUUUGAAAGGUGCAAUUGCAUCACUAAGAGAUGGACCUGCGUUGUAUUAGCUAGUUGGUGAGGUAACGGCUCACCAAGGCGACGAUACAUAGCCGACUGAGAGGGUGAUCGGCCACACGUGGGACUGAGACACGGCCCAGACUCCUACGGGAGCAGCAGUAGGGAAUCGUUCGGCAGUGGGCAACCCGUGACCGAGCAACGCCGCGUGAGUGAAGUAAGGUUUCGAGUCGUAAAGCUCUGUUAGUAAGAGAAGAACGAGUGUAGAGAGUAGGAAGUUCACAC